UACGAAGGGUGCAAGCGUUACUCGGAAUCACUGGGCGUAAAGCGUGCGUAGGCGGUUUCUUAAGUCUGUCGUGAAAGCCCUGGGCUCAACCUGGGAACGGCGAUGGAUACUGGGAAGCUAGAAUGCGAGAGAGGAUGGUGGAAUUCCAGGUGUAGCGGUGAAAUGCGUAGAUAUCUGGAGGAACACCGGUGGCGAAGGCGGCAUCCUGGACCAACACUGACACUGAAAAGCGAAAGCCAGGGGAGCAAACGGG
rnacentral:rRNA from 1 species